rnacentral:lncRNA from 10 species
CUAAGCCGGGGCAUUCGGGAGCAGAACGGGCUGCCAGGAGGCGCCCAGCACGUGGUCCAGGUGUCCCAGAAGGAGCGUUCGCAGCUCCCUGGAGGCGGGAACGGAGUCCCCCGGGGAGAGAGUGGUCCAGGGUUUGCCCUCAGGCGUCCACACUGUCCGCCGGCGAGGCUGGUCCUGUUCCCAGCACCCACGCUGCUAGAGCCACCGGAUCUCCCAGGAGGAGACCCAGCUGCACUCAGAAGAAUCACGCUGGCCUAGGAGAUGGACGGCGGCGUGCGGGCAGGACCGUGUGCGGCUGCAAAGCUGAGCUGUCGUCUUGCCUGUGGCUUCCGAAAUGCAGCCCUGGGCCCUGUGAUCGCUGCAUUUUCUCUGCGCAGCUUUGAGGGACGGAGUGUGCUGACCAACAGAAGAAAGGCAAACAGCAGAAACUGACACUGUGGUGGCCACUGGACGUGGCCUCGGUCGGCUGCGGAGAGAGAAUUUAUUUCCACAGCGACCCUCAGGAGGCGCAGCCAUGCGCACGCUGGCUGGGAGACCACGGCGCUGACCUGAUGGCUGGGUCUUUCCUGCUGCCUGAGCUGCUGUGGAGAACAUUUCUCAACAGCGUCCCCACUCCUGCCUGGCCAUCGAGACACUGCCCUUGUUGGGACCAAGGUCUCCCUAUGUCCGUCCUGGCUGCACCUGCGGGGCCCCUGGCUCCACCUGGUCCUGGCUGUUGCCUUGCUCACCCUCUGACGCUCACAUGUCCAUGCUGGCUGGUGGCUUCUUGAUGCUGCAAGCUUAGUGAACACACAGGAAUCCUGCUCCUAGGGCCAGCACACCCUCCGUGGCUCCUUCCUUGGCCUCACUGUAAAGCAAGCUGGCAGCAGAGUCAGGGCUCUGGGACGUCUGAGAAAUCUUGGGCACCAAGCGGCCCCCCGGCCUCCCCUUCUCUCCUGUUUCCUCCUCUCUCAGGCUAUGCUUGGCAUUUGGGAACCACGUGGCACCGUUGGCUCCUCCCUCCUGCUGCGGUCAUGCCAGGAUGCUGCUGCCUGGCCCUCAUCUGUCCGGAUCGGUGCCGCCUCCUUUUCUUCCCCGGGAGAGAAACUGGAGUCCCAGUUCUGAGGCCUUGCUCCGAGCUCGGUACCCUCCUGUGCCGACACCUGCCCCUGUUGUCCUGUUGGGACCUUAACAUUCUGCAGCCAACCUUUGGACUAAGUGUGUGCAGAGUCUCCAUGCCGCGUCUUGCCCCCGAAGACUGGCCCUGCCUCCGCAGGCCUGGCUGCCGUCUGGGUUGGUGUCCAGGGAGUGGGUGUCGAGCUCUCCCUCAGCUGCCACAGCCCAGACCUUCCUGACAUUGCUGCUUGGAGCAGAGGCCUGGGCGCGACCCCUCUGUCUUGGCAGAGGGGGUGACUCUCACUUCGUGUUUGUCAGGGAAGAGGUGAAGUGUUGAGAAUCUGGUCCUUGGAGUGGGCACAUCUUUGGGGAGCAGCAGGGCCUGCUUCAGAGUUUGUUUCCUAAAUAAAACAAUGGCUCUCCAGUGACUUCUCCUGUGCCCUCGAUUGUUUUUGAGGCUGUUGCACUUUUAAAGAGCAGUGUGUCCACACCACCGUUCCUGUGGGCCCACUGUGGGGACAGCUGCUGAACCUUCCAGGACACACCUACAUACCUCAUCCCACCUACACCUCUCACCCUCCUACACACCUCACCCUCCUACACACCUCACCCUCCUACACACCUCACCCUCCUACACACCUCACCCUCCUACACACCUCACCCUCCUACACACCAAACCCUCCUACACACCUCACCCUCCUACACACCUCACCCUCCUACACACCUCACCCACCUACACACCUCACCCUCCUACACACCUCACCCUCCUACACACCUCACCCUCCUACACACCUCACCCUCCUACACACCAAACCCUCCUACACACCUCACCCUCCUACACACCUCACCCUCCUACACACCUCACCCUCCUACACACCUCACCCUCCUACACACCUCACCCUCCUACACACCUCACCCUCCUACACACCUCACCCUCCUACACACCUCACCCUCCUACACACCUCACCCUCCUACACACCUCACCCUCCUACACACCUCACCCUCCUACACACCUCACCCUCCUACACACCUCACCCUCCUACACACCUCACCCUCCGCAGUGUGCUUAUCACCACUGCACCCACGCUUGUGGCUGCAAGGAAGUCCCUGGCUGAUGUGAGUCCUCCUCCCACACACUGGGGCCCAUGGCUUUGGUGUCUAGAAAAGAAUGACAAUAAGGUCAGUACAGGGCAGGCUGGUCAGACCACCUU